rnacentral:tRNA from 1 species
GGGGCCGUUGCUCAGCUGGGAGAGCACCUGCUUUGCAAGCAGGGGGUCGUCGGUUCGAUCCCGUCCGGCUCCACCA